CUGACAAGCCACUGCUGCUCGGCACCCUGGCGGACUGACCGCACUAGCCAAGCCGCGGAUCCCCAGCUGCUCACCAGCAUGACCACACAACGGAGCAGCUGCCGCAACUGCGUCGGAUCUCCAGCCCAAGCUGCACGACCUAAGCCUGAAGUUCACCUUACGGGGAGAGCAGAAAGGAAAUGAACACGGUGUUUAAAAAGCCUGGCAGAGGAAGCUGCAACAUUUUCGAGACACCUGCAAAUCGGUCUGGCAUCCUUCUGAAACGCUUGCGUCAAGGCCUUCAUCAAGAAAUCGCAUCUUUGUAUUUUCUAUUGUUCACGGCCCCGUUGCCAGUUUUCCCCUUGCAAUGGGAACUUCUUUGUGCUAGGGAAAACAGCAAUAAUUUUCCUUUGUUGUCGUUGUUGGAAACAGGGCUGGCAAUCUCCAGCAGCCCUUAGGCAAGGAAGCGUAUUCCCUGCACAUCAG